AUGGUGGGCCCCACGGGUCCCCUGAUCACACCUUCUACGUCCGUCCGUCAGUAAACCCUGGAAUUUGGGCACCCGCUCGAAACAGAGCCGCGCCCAAACACCCGUAUUUCACUCACUCUCACUCUCUCUCUCUCUCUCUCUCUCUCUCUCUCCAUUCCCUAAUCAGAGCUUUGGGAAAGCUCUUCUUUCCCUAAUCCUCUCUCUCCCUCCUGAUCUCUGCUCCAUCUCUCUCAUUCUCCUCCCUCUCUCUCUAUUGCAUCAGCCAUGAAGAAGACAGGCCGUGGACGCCCUCUUCUCUCUCUCUCUCUCUCUCUCUCUCUCUCUCUCUCUCUCUCCAUUGCAGCAGCCAUGAAUCUCCUACCCGAAGAAAGACACGCCGUGAAGCUCCUCUCCAUAGGUAAAGGCUUGGAUUACCAAAGCUUCAAAGAGUAUAUCAUCAUUUUGGAAGGUCUGUGAAAAGAACUUAGGUUACAAUGCAAGUGAUUUUGAUUCGGAUGAGUCAAAAGGUGAUUUGAAAUAAAGAUCAAUAAGAUAUGUUUUAUUUAAACGGAAGAGUCUAGGUGAGUUAAAUUUCUUUCAGAUCUAUCAUGCUGCUGAAAUUGCUUGACAAAUCAUGAUUACAAAUUUUCAAAUUUUAUAUGUUUUAGUUUAUGCAAACUCAUGGCACAAGGAAGCCAUCCCUCGAGUUCUUUGUUCUAUCAUUUUAAUGCAAUAAUGUCAUUUCUUGAGCUCUUUGUUCAUUUCAUUAUUUUAGAACAAAAAGAAGGAAUAAGGAGAGGAGUUAUGUAAUAUACUCCUCUCAAAUCCUUUAUUUUUAAUGAUAAUCAGUUACAAGAGAAAUUGUAUUCAAUGCUUAUUACAAGAAAUUGUACGGUGCAUUUGAGCUAAUAACAUGA